GAGGAGGCCCUGUGGGUCCAACCUCCCACCCGUGUUUAUUUUGCCUUGGUUGCUUCGGCGAGCCUGCCUUUUGGCUGCCGGGGGACAUCUGUCCCCGGGUCCGCGCUCGCCGAAGACAACUUAGAACUCUGUCUGAAGAUUGUAGUUUGAGAUUAAAUAUAAAUUAUUUAAAACUUUCAACAACGGAUCUCUUGGUUCCGGCAUCGAUGAAGAACGCAGCGAAAUGCGAUACGUAAUGUAAAUUGCAGAAUUCAGUGAAUCAUCGAGUCUUUGAACGCACAUUGCGCCCUCUGGUAUUCCGGAGGGCAUGCCUGUCCGAGCGUCAUUGGUGCCCUCAAGCACGGCUUGUGUGUUGGGCUCCGUCCUCCUUCCGGGGGACGGGCGCGAAAGGCAGCGGCGGCACCGCGUCCGGUCCUCAAGCGUAUGGGGCUUUUUCACCCGCUUUGUAGGACUGGGCGGCGCCUGCCGAUCAACCAAACUUUUUUCCAGGUUGACCUCGGAUCAGGUAGGGAU
rnacentral:sRNA from 1 species